rnacentral:rRNA from 1 species
UAGGGAAUCUUCCACAAUGGGCGAAAGCCUGAUGGAGCAACGCCGCGUGUGUGAUGAAGGCUUUCGGGUCGUAAACUCUGUUGUUAAAGAAGAACAUAUCUGAGAGUAACUGUUCAGGUAUUGACGGUAUUUAACCAGAAAGCCACGGCUAACUACGUGCCAG